rnacentral:rRNA from 1 species
GAUGAACGCUGGCGGCGUGCCUAAUACAUGCAAGUCGAGCGAAUGGAUUAAGAGCUUGCUCUUAUGAAGUUAGCGGCGGACGGGUGAGUAACACGUGGGUAACCUGCCCAUAAGACUGGGAUAACUCCGGGAAACCGGGGCUAAUACCGGAUAACAUUUUGAACCGCAUGGUUCGAAAUUGAAAGGCGGCUUCGGCUGUCACUUAUGGAUGGACCCGCGUCGCAUUAGCUAGUUGGUGAGGUAACGGCUCACCAAGGCAACGAUGCGUAGCCGACCUGAGAGGUUGAUCGGCCACACUGGGACGGAGACACGGCCCAGACUCCUACGGGAGGCAGCAGUAGGGAAUCUUCCGCAAUGGACGAAAGUCUGACGGAGCAACGCCGCGUGAGUGACGAAGGCUUUCGGGUCGUAAAACUCUGUUGUUAGGGAAGAACAAGUGCUAGUUGAAUAAGCUGGCACCUUGACGGUACCUAACCAGAAAGCCACGGCUAACUACGUGCCAGCCGCCGCCGUAA